GUGUGACCUGUGGGCUUCCCUUUGUCAUCCUAUGCCUGGAGAUCAUAGUGAGGCAGGGACAGCAAAGGGAUGCUCAGCUGUCGUCUCU
rnacentral:pre_miRNA from 1 species